GGGUUGUGAGGUUAAGUGACUAAGCGUACACGGUGGAUGCCUAGGCAGUCAGAGGCGAUGAAGGGCGUGCUAAUCUGCGAAAAGCGUCGGUAAGGUGAUAUGAACCGUUAUAACCGGCGAUACCCGAAUGGGGAAACCCAGUGUGUUUCGACACACUAUCAUGUCAUGAAUACAUAGUGGCAUGAGGCGAACCGGGGGAACUGAAACAUCUAAGUACCCCGAGGAAAAGAAAUCAACCGAGAUUCCCCCAGUAGCGGCGAGCGAACGGGGAGGAGCCCAGAACCUGAAUCGGCUUGUGUGUUAGUGGAAGCGUCUGGAAAGUCGCGCAGUAAAGGGUGAUAGCCCCGUACACUAAAAUGCACAGGUCGUGAGUUCGAUGAGUAGGGCGGGACACGUGACAUCCUGUCUGAAUAUGGGGGGACCAUCCUCCAAGGCUAAAUACUCCUGACUGACCGAUAGUGAACCAGUACCGUGAGGGAAAGGCGAAAAGAACCCCGGCGAGGGGAGUGAAAUAGAACCUGAAACCGUGUACGUACAAGCAGUGGGAGCACCUUCGUGGUGUGACUGCGUACCUUUUGUAUAAUGGGUCAGCGACUUAUAUUUUGUAGCAAGGUUAACCGUAUAGGGGAGCCGUAGGGAAACCGAGUCUUAACUGGGCGAAUAGUUGCAAGGUAUAGACCCGAAACCCGGUGAUCUAGCCAUGGGCAGGUUGAAGGUUGGGUAACACUAACUGGAGGACCGAACCGACUAAUGUUGAAAAAUUAGCGGAUGACUUGUGGCUGGGGGUGAAAGGCCAAUCAAACCGGGAGAUAGCUGGUUCUCCCCGAAAGCUAUUUAGGUAGCGCCUCGUGAACUCAUCUUCGGGGGUAGAGCACUGUUUCGGCUAGGGGGCCAUCCCGGCUUACCAAACCGAUGCAAACUCCGAAUACCGAAGAAUGUUAUCACGGGAGACACACGGCGGGUGCUAACGUCCGUCGUGAAGAGGGAAACAACCCAGACCGCCAGCUAAGGUCCCAAAGUCAUGGUUAAGUGGGAAACGAUGUGGGAAGGCAUAGACAGCCAGGAUGUUGGCUUAGAAGCAGCCAUCAUUUAAAGAAAGCGUAAUAGCUCACUGGUCGAGUCGGCCUGCGCGGAAGAUGUAACGGGGCUAAACCAUGCACCGAAGCUGCGGCAGCGACGCUUAGGCGUUGUUGGGUAGGGGAGCGUUCUGUAAGCCGUUGAAGGUGGCCUGUGAGGGUUGCUGGAGGUAUCAGAAGUGCGAAUGCUGACAUAAGUAACGAUAAAGCGGGUGAAAAGCCCGCUCGCCGGAAGACCAAGGGUUCCUGUCCAACGUUAAUCGGGGCAGGGUGAGUCGACCCCUAAGGCGAGGCUGAAAAGCGUAGUCGAUGGGAAACAGGUUAAUAUUCCUGUACUUGGUGUUACUGCGAAGGGGGGACGGAGAAGGCUAGGCUAGCCGGGCGACGGUUGUCCCGGUUUAAGCGUGUAGGGGGUGUGACCUGGUAAAUCCGGUUACAUACUAACCCUGAGGCGUGAUGACGAUGCACUACGGUGCAGAAGUAGUUGAUGCCCUGCUUCCAGGAAAAGCCUCUAAGCUCUAGGUAACAUUGAAUCGUACCCCAAACCGACACAGGUGGUCAGGUAGAGAAUACCAAGGCGCUUGAGAGAACUCGGGUGAAGGAACUAGGCAAAAUGGUGCCGUAACUUCGGGAGAAGGCACGCUGGCAUGUAGGUGAAGUCCUUCGCGGAUGGAGCUGAAGCCAGUCGAAGAUACCAGCUGGCUGCAACUGUUUAAUAAAAACACAGCACUGUGCAAACACGAAAGUGGACGUAUACGGUGUGACGCCUGCCCGGUGCUGGAAGGUUAAUUGAUGGGGUCAGCCGCAAGGCGAAGCUCUUGAUCGAAGCCCCAGUAAACGGCGGCCGUAACUAUAACGGUCCUAAGGUAGCGAAAUUCCUUGUCGGGUAAGUUCCGACCUGCACGAAUGGCGUAAUGAUGGCCAGGCUGUCUCCACCCGAGACUCAGUGAAAUUGAACUCGCUGUGAAGAUGCAGUGUACCCGCGGCAAGACGGAAAGACCCCGUGAACCUUUACUAUAGCUUGACACUGAACAUUGAGCCUUGAUGUGUAGGAUAGGUGGGAGGCUUUGAAGCGUGGACGCCAGUCUGCGUGGAGCCAUCCUUGAAAUACCACCCUUUAAUGUUUGAUGUUCUAACUCGGCCCCAUAAUCUGGGGUGAGGACAGUGUCUGGUGGGUAGUUUGACUGGGGCGGUCUCCUCCCAAAGAGUAACGGAGGAGCACGAAGGUUAGCUAAUCACGGUCGGACAUCGUGAGGUUAGUGCAAAGGCAUAAGCUAGCUUGACUGCGAGAGUGACGGCUCGAGCAGGUACGAAAGUAGGUCUUAGUGAUCCGGUGGUUCUGAAUGGAAGGGCCAUCGCUCAACGGAUAAAAGGUACUCCGGGGAUAACAGGCUGAUACCGCCCAAGAGUUCAUAUCGACGGCGGUGUUUGGCACCUCGAUGUCGGCUCAUCACAUCCUGGGGCUGAAGUAGGUCCCAAGGGUAUGGCUGUUCGCCAUUUAAAGUGGUACGCGAGCUGGGUUUAGAACGUCGUGAGACAGUUCGGUCCCUAUCUGCCGUGGGCGUUGGAAGAUUGAGAGGGGUUGCUCCUAGUACGAGAGGACCGGAGUGAACGCACCACUGGUGUUCGGGUUGUCAUGCCAAUGGCAUUGCCCGGUAGCUAAGUGCGGAAAAGAUAAGCGCUGAAAGCAUCUAAGCGCGAAACUUGCCUCAAGAUGAGUCUUCCCUGGGCCUUCAAGGCCCCUGAAGGAACGUUUAAGACUAAGACGUUGAUAGGCUGGGUGUGUAAGUGCAGCGAUGCAUUGAGCUAACCAGUACUAAUGAUCCGUGAGGCUUAACCUUACAACACCGAAGGUGUUU
rnacentral:rRNA from 1 species